rnacentral:rRNA from 1 species
UACGAAGGGGGCUAGCGUUGUUCGGAAUUACUGGGCGUAAAGCGCGCGCAGGCGGUCUUCCAAGUCAGGCGUGAAAGCCCCGGGCUCAACCUGGGAACCGCGCUUGAGACUGGCACGCUCGAGUUCGGGAGAGGAUGGUGGAAUUCCCAGUGUAGAGGUGAAAUUCGUAGAUAUUGGGAAGAACACCGAUGGCGAAGGCAGCCAUCUGGACCGACACUGACGCUGAGGCGCGAAAGCGUGGGGAGAAAACAGG